CGGGGCGUGGCGUAGCUUGGCAGCGCGUCUGGUUUGGGACCAGAAGGUCGGAGGUUCAAAUCCUCUCGCCCCGACCA
rnacentral:tRNA from 1 species